rnacentral:rRNA from 1 species
UCUGGUGGUUAGAGCGGAGUGGCACCACCCGUUCCCAUCCCGAACACGGAAGUGAAACGCUCCAGCGCUGACGAUACUGAGGGGGAAACUCCUUGGGAGAAUAGGUCACCGCCAGAG